rnacentral:lncRNA from 1 species
GGAAACCGUUCCCAACUCCUGCCUUUGGUGUCAGCUCGACAGGAUCAUGUGGCUAGACCAUGUGCUCUUGAUCCAGGCCGGGGUCACCAUCAGGGGGAUCUAAUUUCACCUCUCGUACCUGUUCUGCUUUUUGUUUCAGUGUUUCUUUGAAGGGGUGAAAUUCUCUAGGGCUAUGACACCAGAAGUCAGCAAAACUCCUCCUCAAUCAUCAGCCUGGACCAAGUUAUCGACCUGCCUGCAGUGGAAGCCAUAGAGAACGUAUUCUCCCUCAGGUAUUCCGCAAACCUGUGUCCUGCAGAGUGUGGUUGCUGUCCAACAUUUGGAUCCUUCCAGUGGCCCAGGAACACCACCAGCCCACUCACUCACUCCCUCAGGACCCAGUUCAUCUUGCUGAUAUUAUUUAUUCAUUCUAGGAAGAAAAACAAGGAAUGCAAAAAAGAAAGAGAAAAGAAGAUACCUUCAUUGGCUCAAAGUGAGGAAACCUCAGUGGCUGCGAAAACAGUCAGCAACCCGGCAGCGGGGGUCGUUUGAGAGCAGACAGUGGAUUUCCCUGCCCCCGAGAGGGCAAGGGCCUUCUUCACAAAUCGCCACAACAUUGUGGGUGUCCCCUUCAGCUGAUGCUGGGCGCCCUGCCCUUUCCCCUCUGGACGCCCCCUCCUUCCUUGAUUGCAUAAUGAGAGGCUGAAAUUGUGUUUCCAAACUGCUUUGCUGCAUUUUUCCCAAACACAAAGGAUGUGUGUCCAGAUCCCUUGAUGAAACAAGAAGCUGUUCACACUUAGCC